CGAAUAAACAAAAAUAAAGAGGACUGUGAACCUACGGUUUGGAAAAUGCAGAUCCAACGGUAGUCCUCGAUGAGAUCAGCUCUCUACAGCCUAUAUUGAACCUGAAAUGGGUGGAAAGGAGGGUAGUGAGAUUAUAAAAUCCCAAUGAGUAAACAGACAUCAUCAUAAAUAUCUAGAGUUGAGUACAUGAAGACAAUAAAAUAAAUCAUCGUAAACUGGGUCACAGCAUUAGAAUACAUUUCAUUUAAAAUAUGUAAAGAGGCUUAUGAAUCUCAUAAAAACUAGGCUUGUGCCAUAAAUCUAUUCUCAAGGACACCUUGGUCGAGGCAUCCUACCGAGAUCGCCAAGGCUAUUAAAAUUCACAUUUCACAUAAAUCAUGUUUUUUUUUUGUUUUGAAAACAUAGUCAUUCCUUGGCGUUGGCUGAGUUCCCCCUCACAUGGUGGUUUGGCGUGAAGUGAACCCUAAGCUUUACCCCAGGAGAUACCCUACGCGCCUCUCCAUUCGAGGUAAAAAUAUAAUGGGGUUUAUCGUGCCCCUCUAAAAGGCUGGUCCACAGAAACCCUCUACUGCAGUGAUUAAUUAAUAUAUAUAAUCCACUAUACAAUAAAACUCAAUAACAUGAUAUGACAAUUUUGUAAUUCACAGUCUUUCAAGGCAAUCAAACAAUUCGCAUUUCAAUACAAUUGCCAACUAGCCAAUCAUGUCCGAUUUAUCAUAAGCCAAUCAAUUUAAACAAUCAAAUUGCCACAAUUUACAGUCUCCGUGUACUCUAUUUUUCAAAAUCACUAUUAAUUUCAAAACAAUUUAUAAUUUAAUUUCAUUGAAACACAUUUAUUCAUAAAACAUGAAAAUUUACCUUUUUAAAUUCCUUUUUCCAUAGAAUUCAUGAAAUCAUCUAAAAACCACCAUAGAUAAUUAAAAUGACAGUAAGUUUACUCACAAUGUCUAGAAUGUAGACUUUCGAUGCACUCUGUCUACUGGUCAUCGGAUGCAAUUUCCUUGCCUUUAUCGGAGGACUCACCACCUUGACACAGUACAAAAUCGAGAAAUUCACUACAUUGGUACUAAUUGAAAUUAAACUAAUUUAGACUAUUAAUGCAUAAUAUGGAAUGCAAAAAUGCACUGGUAACUAUCUAAACUCAGUAUUGGCCUAAUUCGUCUUAUCACCCAAUUAAAUUACUAACGCGUCCAAUUUAAUCUUAAAUUAAUUUUUUUCAGUUUCUAUACCUCAAUUGCACCCAAAUUGACUUAAUGUCCCUCAGUGUGGUGCAAAUUAUCAGUCUCGAUAGUAAAUUACGAAAAUACCCCUAAUGGGUAAAAAUUCGUAUUUUUACUCCGAAAAUUCUCAUUAUUUUUCUAGGCUCAUAAUUCAUCAUUUCUUAACCAAUUCUCCUAGAACAAAAAUCAAACUCAUCCUCACUCAUACAUGGUAAAUUUGGCCCUUAAUGGUUGUGAGAGAAAAUAAAUUCUUUUCUUAUUGUUUUGUUUCUAAAUAUGCUAAACUAACUAAAAACACUAACAUAACUUAAAAUCAAAUUAAUUUAACAACUUUCUCUCUCCUAACCCAUUUUGAUCAGCCAACAAUUCAUCAUAAAAACAUGUAAUUUAAGCAUGGAAAAUAAGGAGAAAUGCUUAAGGAAAAUAGGUUUCAAGCUUAAGUUGAAAAAUCUUACCUUUUUCACUUGUUUUCCUUGAUUUUUCACACUUUUUCUUUUGAAAUUCCUCACCUAGGGUUUGUUCUUCCUCUCUUUCUCUCUCUUCCUUG
rnacentral:lncRNA from 1 species